rnacentral:lncRNA from 1 species
UCUUUUCUUCACCCAUGGCUGCCUUUUCCUCUUUCUCUACAUAAGCCGCCACUCACCAACUCCCUCUAUAUGGCCGCCGCUCUCAGCAACCCAGGACAAAAAACAACAGAAGAUUGAAUAACAGUUAACACCCUUAUAGCACAAAUUGAAUCAAUUCCAUUUCAACAAAUUUCAAAAAAUGGAUCUAACAUCCUUAUAGCAAGUGUUUAAUUAAAAUGCAAUUAAAAAUUGAUUGAUAAAUGUAAUUAAGCUUUAUGCAAGUGUAUCAAUUUAAAUGGAGUGAAAAAUUCUCUUUGUUUGAUUUCAAAUCAGUGAGAACGGCGACGAAAUGGCGAGGUUCGGUCAUCACAGUGAGUUGGUGUGUGGAGAAGAUGGAGGAAGGACGUCACCGAUGUGACAGACGAGAGCGACAACAAGAGGAAGAGACUGUGAGUUGAAGAUGAAAUGACAGAGAAACAAGAUGAAGAAACGGUGUUUUUCUCCUUAUUUCCUUUGUUUAACCUUUUAAUCUUAGCCGCUACUUUUCUCCUUGCCACUUGUGACUCAUCUGUGCAAUGAACAGAUAUAAAUGGAGCGG